UACGAGGGAUCCUAGCGUUGUUCGGAAUCAUUGGGCGUAAAGGGUGUGUAGGCGGCCAUGUAAGUCAGUUGUGAAAGCCCCGGGCUCAACCCGGGAAGUGCUUCUGAUACUGCGUGGCUUGAGUAUUGGAUAGGUGAGUGGAAUUCCAGGUGUAGUGGUGAAAUUCGUAGAUAUUGGGAAGAACACCGGUGGCGAAGGCGGCUCACUGGCUCAUUACUGACGCUCAGGCGCGAUAGCGUGGGGAUCAAACAGG
rnacentral:rRNA from 1 species